UGCCAGCCGCCGCGGUAAUACGGAGGGGGUUAGCGUUGUUCGGAAUUACUGGGCGUAAAGGGUCUGUAGGCGGUCCAUUAAGUUAAAGCAAAAGUUUAGGGCUCAACUCUAAAACGACUUUUAAAACUAAUGGACUAGAGUUCAAAAGGGGAUAGUAGAAUUUCUGGUGGAGGGAUAAAAUCCGUAGAGAUCAGAAGGAAUACCAGAGGCGAAGGCGACUAUCUGGGUUGAUACUGACGCUGAGAGACGAAAGCAUGGGUAGCGAACGGGAUUAGAUA
rnacentral:rRNA from 1 species